rnacentral:lncRNA from 1 species
UAAACUAUAUAGAUUAAGGUUAACAUUCUUGAUCUGAAUUUAAAGUCCUAUACUCAAAUUUUAAAGAUUAUUCAAUUUCCACCGUCCAUUUUGAUAUAAUUUAUUUACUAAGUAAACGAUAUCGGAAAAAACUAAAAUUUUUAUUCCUAAGAAAUUCAUAUACCCUAGAUCAUAUUUAACGGUGUGGAUCGUUGAUUUGAACGUCCUAAGAUCGAAAACAAACACUAUAGUACCGGAGCUCGGUACUAUAGAUAGUAUAGUAGCCUAAUUCUAUAUAUAUAUAUAUAUAUAUAUAUAUAUAUAUAUAUAUAUAUAGAGUUGAGUUAUGAUACUUUUACAAGUAUCACCAUCAUGGUACUAUUAGGUUUUAAGUCAUUGGAUUUACUUUUUGAUUAUUAAUAGCCCUUGGAUUAAACACUAUUCCACCUACCACACCUACCACCACCUACCACCAUAAUCUCAACCUCACAUCUCUCCAUCCAAGGGCUAAAACACACAAGUAUCACCCCCAUGAUACUUUUACAAGUAUUCUAGCCCUACCUAUAUAUAUAAUAUAUUAUAUAUAUAUAUAUUAUAUAUUAUAUAUAUUAUUUUAUGAGCUUGUUUUAGGGGGAGAAAAGUUUUAAUUUGCAUGUCUGGUAUUUAUAAUGUUUUUGCUUAUCAUUCGCAGUUUAAAAAAGUUUGCUUAAUUUUUUUAUAAUUUUUUUUAUUCACUAUAAGUAGGGCAGCAUAAAAUAGUGUUUACCAUCUUAAAAUUUGUAUUUUGUCACCUUAUAAUUUGCAAAUGUAUUAUUUUGCUACUCAACAUAUUGUAAUUAUUGCGAGUCGAAUCCCUAACUGAUGACUUGGUCAAAUGUACUCCCUCGGAAACGUACGAGAAGUAGAGCGGUUACUGAUAAUAACCUCGAAGUCUGCACCACAAGUGAAUCAAGCGAUUCGAUGAGGAUUAGAUCAGUCGAGUUCAGGUACCACACUGUAGAUUUGGUUUGGCUAAAGAUCGGAUGAUACUUAUAUAUAUUGCCGAAAAGAAGAAAAUGUUUAUAGAAAGGCGUACGCCGCUGUGGCGUCUGGUUUUAAAAAAAUUAUUAACUUAAAACUACUCAUAGAAAAGCAAGAAAUGCAAAAAAAACAGAAAUUACAAGUAGGCUACUCCUAGAAAGCGAAAGAAAUGCGUGAAAAAUAAACUGGUCUUCUUGUCUCAGGAAAAAAAGACCCCUUUGUUAGGCGUUUCUAUCAUUUAUAAUUUCACCCCGUUGUUAUGCAGUUAUUCCUCAUAAUCAGCACAUCUCUGAUUUUGUUGUCCACUAUCGGCCGAUCCUAACUGCAUAAGCCUUAACUGCUUUUUCGGUUUUAGAUGCUUUCUUCUCGACUCCUGGCGAAUCACAUGUUACUUAUCUCUGGUCUCGAAAGUUGUUUCCAUACGGUGUAUGAAAAUGAACUAAACUGUGGCUGCAAAUUAACUUACUUUUUUUUUUUUUUUUCCUUUUCAAUUUAUGAGACUGAUUGAGUUUUAUUUGUACUGUCCAUUUCUCGAAUUUACCUUGAUCAAUGGUGAUUUAAUUACCAGUUAUAAAUAAUUAAAACAAUUCACUUAAAACGUUUUUUUUUACUUGUCAAUCAAAUGAUACUAUUUAUCUGAAAUAUCAAAUAUGAAAGUGUUGCACAUCUUUAAAAUGCAUUUCAUGCCAUUGAGAGCUACUUCCAAAAAGGUGAUAGGGAUAAAUAGCAAAAGAGAAUAAAAAAAGGAAAAAAAAAAAAAAGAACUAAAAGAUGGCUACACCUUGCACGUACAAAACGUGAGAAAUCUAUAACUAUAUAUUAUUCCUCAAUAACUGCACACUGUCGCGAGGAGGCCGAGUCGCGGGCGAGGGCGCGGGGGCGGGCGGCGCGGCCGCGGCGCGGGCGCGGGCGCGCACGGGCGCCGCUCGGGGCGGGCUCCGGCGCUGGCGCCGGCGCGCGAGGCUGGUGCUGGCGCGGGUCUGGCGCGGGGGCCGUCGCGGGGUGGCUCCGGCGUUGGCGCCGCGAGGCGAGGGCGGUGCCGGCGAGGGGUGCGGCGAGGGGCAGGCGCCGGCGCGGCGCGGCGCGGCGCGGCGCCUGCGCGGAGCGGGAAAAAAUCGCGGCUUUGAUGGUGGUGGUUGCACGGGUCCACGAGCCAAAGUGGCCUCGUGGACCACAUGAGAGGGAGGUCCACGGUGGACCUCCCUCUCAUUCUCUCUCUCUCUCUCUCUAUAUAUAAAAAAAUUUAUUUAUAAAUAUAUAUUUAUGUAUUAUAGAUAGUAUUAUAUAUAUAUAUAUAUAUAUAUAUAUAUAUAAAUUUUAUUUAUAUAUAUAAUUUAUUUAUAAAUAUAUAUUAUAUAUAUAUAUUUUAUUUAUAAUAUGUAUUUAUGUAUUAUAUAUAGUAUUAUAUUAUUAUUAUUAUUAUUAUUAAUAUAUAAAAUUUAAUUUAUAAAUAUAUAACAAUAAUAAUACACACGUGUCGCAAGGAGGCCGCAGCGCUGGCGAGGGCGCGGGGCGCGAGCAGCUGCGGGCACUGCGCGGGCAGAGCGCUACGGGAGCGGGUGCGGCGCGGGCGGGCGCUGGCCCGGGGGCUAGCACGGGCGCAGGCUCAGGCACUGGCACCGCAGGAACGGACGCGGGGGCGGGGCGCCGGCGAGGCACAGCGCCGGCGCGUGGACUCUGGGCGGAGCCGAAAAAUUCGGGCUCAUAGUGGUGGUGUUCACGGGUCCAUGAUAUAUAUAUAUAUAAUAUAUAUAUAUAUAUAAUAUAUAUAUAUAUAUAUAUAUAUAUAUAUAUAUAUAUAUAUAUAAAAUUGUAUUUAUAAAUAUAUAUAUUUAUUUAUUAUAUAUAUAUAGUAUUUUAUUUGUAUAUAUAGAUAUAUUAUUAUAUAGCUGCCUUAGAGGAGCCCCAAGGGUCUGCUAUGGCAGACCCGAAAUUUAACUGCUGGGAGGGUAUUUUGUUCCAAAAAAUAUAUUUUAAAUUUUUUUUAAAGUUCUAUUAUUUUUAUAAAUGUUUUUUAAAAUUUGAAAUUUUCUCACUCAUACAUUAUUUUUAAAUAAUAAUAUUUUAAUUUUUAGUUUUCUAAAAUUUUAUAUAUUUUAAAAUAAAUUUUAAAAAAAUAAAAAAUAGACUGGCCCUAGGCCCGGCACGGCCUGUCCCGUGCGGGCCGGGCAGCCGUGCUAGGCCAGGAGUCCAAUAAAUUCGGCCUGACACGGCACAGUCUUUGGGACCGGGCCGUGCCGAGCUGACCUCUGACUGUUUCAGCCCGACGAAUGUGAGCCGUGCCGGCCCAGCACAGCCCAUAUUACACCUCUAGGUAUGCUAUAAAAAGAGCUUAUCAGGGUACGACGUUUAAUCAUUAUUAUUGUCCCUAAAAAUGUUAAGAACCCAAAGAAUAUUGUUUUCAUCACCUAUGUACAGCUAAAUAAUUUCUGCCAACUUGUCCAGUUGUGGCUUAUCCCUAUCACCUUUUUGGAAGUAGCUCUCAAUGGCAUGAAAUGCAUUUUUAAAGAUGUGCAACACUUUCAUAUUUGAUAUUUCAGAUAAGAUAGUAUCAUAUUGAUUGACAAGUAAAAAAAAACGUUUUAAGUGAAUUGUUUUAAUUAUUUUAUAACUGGUAAUUAAAUCACCAUUGAUCAAGGUAAAUUCGAGAAAUGGACAGUACAAAUAAAACUCAAUCAGUCUCAUAAAUUGAAAAAGGAAAAAAAAAAAAAAGUAAGUUUUAAUUUGCAGCCACAGUUUAGUUCAUUUUCAUACACCGUAUGGAAACAACUUUCGAGACCAGAGAUAAGUAACAUGUGAUUCGCCAGGAGUCGAGAAGAAAGCAUCUAAAACCGAAAAGCAGUUAAGGCUUAUGCAGUUAGGAUCGGCCGAUAGUGGACAACAAAAUCAGAGAUGUGGCUGAUUAUGAGGAAUAACUGCAUAACAACGGGGUGAAAUUAUAAAUAGAUAAGAAACGCCUAACAAAGGGGUCUUUUUUUCCUGAGAACAAGAAGACCAGUUUAUUUUUCACGCAUUUCUUUCGCUUUCUAGGAGUAGCCUACUUGUAAUUUCUGUUUUUUUUUGCAUUUCUUGCUUUUCUAUGAGUAGUUUUAAGUUAAUAAUUUUUUUAAAACCAGACGCCACAGCGGCGUACGCCUUUCUAUAAACAUUUUCUUCUUUUCGGCAAUAUAUAUAAGUAUCAUCCGACUCUUUAGCCAAACCAAAUCUACAGUGUGGUACCUGAACUCGACUGAUCUAAUCCCUCAUCGAAUCGCUUGAUUCACUUGUGGGUGCAGACUUCGAAGGUUAUUAUCAGUAACCGCUCUACUUCUCGUACGUUUUCCGAGGGAGUACAUUUGACCAAGUCAUCAGUUAGGGAAUUCGACUCGCAAUAAUUACAAUAUGUUGAGUAGCAAAAUAAUACAUUUGCAAAUUAUAAGGUGACAAAAUACAAAUUUUAAGAUGGUAAAACACUAUUUUAUGCUGCCCUACUUAUAGUGAAUAAAAAAAAAUUAUAAAAAAAUUAAGCACAACUUUUUAAACUGCGAAUGAUAAAGCAAAAACAUUAUAAAUCACAGCAUGCAAAUUAAAACUUUUCUCCCCCCUAAAACAAGCUCAUAAAAUAAUAUAUAUAUAUAUAUAUAUAUAUAUAUAUAUAUAUAUAUAUANAAAUUAGAUUGAACCGAUUGAUUUGACUGAUCAGACUUUGACCUAUUCUAUCAAAAUAUGAUUUUAACCUAUUGAACUGAAUAACAUUAAGAACAAUUUGGAACCGGUAAAGAUAAUAAAUAUUUUAAACAGAAUGAUAAUUUAACUGUUAGAGCUAAUAAAUAUUUUAAAUAUAAUUUUAAACAUAUAAAUUAAAAAGAUUAGAAUUAUUGGUGAGAAAAAAAAUAGUUAGGAAUUUGAAUUCGAAUCUGACUAACAAUCGCAAAACUUAUUUUCGAACUCGACGGAUUUCAAAAAUGCAUAUCCAAAUUCAAAACUGGCCAAUUUUUCGAAACCCAAAACCAAACCUAAACCAGAAGACUAGAAUUCAAAAAAUUAUUUCUCUUUACCAUAUUUCAAAGUAUUUAUAUGAAACUUAAAAUUUUAAAAUAUAAAUUUGAAUAUAAUAUUAAAUUUUAAAUUUAAAAGUGAAAUUUAAAUUAGAGGAAUUUUGUAUUAUUAUUUAAAGUUUAAAUUAAAUGAUUAUAUUGUCAAAUCAUUUGAAAAUUUUCUUAUAUGAAAUGCUAAAUUAUGAAAGGAAAGAUAGAGAGAGAAAAGGAAACAAAGAAAAAAUAAAAUUUUUUGAAAAUAUAGUAGAUGUAAAAUGACUAAAUUGCCCAUGUAUUAAAAGACAAAAAUAUCAUUUUUUGAGGUACCUGGUAAUCGGUACCUCUCCCAAAGUGACCUGCUAUUGUAGGUCAUAAUUUUAAAAAAACUAAAUCUGAGCCGUUGAAUACGCGUGAAUGAACGGUAACAAAAAAAAAAGUAUAGAAGCAUUACUCUAUAUAUAUAUAUAGAGAGAGAGAGAGAGAGAGAGAGAGAGAGAGAGAGAAAGACAUACUAUUUGGAGCACCGAGGACUCCGUACUCUUAAACUGUUUUCGAUAAUAAAACUUUUGAAUCGGCGAUCGAGUUCGUUAAACUUGAUAUAGCAUAUUUAAGCAUCUAGAAAAUAAAUGUUAUGUCUUUUAGAUAUUAUUUGCCUAAUAAUCGAAAAAACUCAAAAUCAACGAUUAAAAAUAAAAAUCUCACAAAAAGGUAUAAUAUAACACUAAAUUUUUUUAUCAUAAAUAUUAAUCUUGCAUAGUAUAAAAAAAAUUUUCUAUCAAAAAUUAAUCUGAUUUGAAUACUUCUAAACCAUUAAACUUGCAAACGACACACAUCACCUAUUAUAAAUUAUUAAUUUUGAACCCUUUUGGUCAUUAAAUAAUAUCAAAAAACCAUAAAACUUAUUUUUUAGAUGCUUUAAAUAUGCUGAACAAAUCAAACAUAACAGAACUGAACUUCAAUUCAAAAGUUUAAUCAUUGAAAAUGACUUAGGAGCACGAAAAUAAUUUCCGUGCUUGUAAUAGCACACAUCCUACUCUCUCUCUCUCUCUCUCUCUCUCUCUCUCUCUAUAUAUAUAUAUAGAGUAAUGCUUCUAUACUUUUUUUUUUGUUACCGUUCAUUCACGCGUAUUCAACGGCUCAGAUUUAGUUUUUUUAAAAUUAUGACCUACAAUAGCAGGUCACUUUGGGAGAGGUACCGAUUACCAGGUACCUCAAAAAAUGAUAUUUUUGUCUUUUAAUACAUGGGCAAUUUAGUCAUUUUACAUCUACUAUAUUUUCAAAAAAUUUUAUUUUUUCUUUGUUUCCUUUUCUCUCUCUAUCUUUCCUUUCAUAAUUUAGCAUUUCAUAUAAGAAAAUUUUCAAAUGAUUUGACAAUAUAAUCAUUUAAUUUAAACUUUAAAUAAUAAUACAAAAUUCCUCUAAUUUAAAUUUCACUUUUAAAUUUAAAAUUUAAUAUUAUAUUCAAAUUUAUAUUUUAAAAUUUUAAGUUUCAUAUAAAUACUUUGAAAUAUGGUAAAGAGAAAUAAUUUUUUGAAUUCUAGUCUUCUGGUUUAGGUUUGGUUUUGGGUUUCGAAAAAUUGGCCAGUUUUGAAUUUGGAUAUGCAUUUUUGAAAUCCGUCGAGUUCGAAAAUAAGUUUUGCGAUUGUUAGUCAGAUUCGAAUUCAAAUUCCUAACUAUUUUUUUUCUCACCAAUAAUUCUAAUCUUUUUAAUUUAUAUGUAUAAAAUUAUAUUUCAAAUAUUUAUUAGCUCUAACAGUUAAAUUAUCAUUCUGUUUAAAAUAUUUAUUAUCUUUACCGGUUCCAAAUUGUUCUUAAUGUUAUUCAGUUCAAUAGGUUAAAAUCAGAUUCUUGAUAGAAUAGGUCAAAGUCUGAUCAGUCAAAUCAAUCGGUUCAAUCUAAUUUUUAAAUCAUUGAAUUUAAAAUUUAAAUAGUAAUAUGAAAUUUCUCUAGAAAAAUCUAGUUGUAGAAAUCUUACUCUCUAAGUUUUUUAUGCAUUACGUUUUAAACUGGUGCAAAUAAACUGUAUUUUAAAUCUUGGUAGAAAUUUAGUUUUUAAAUAGUAAUAUGAAAUUCCUCUAAUUUAAAUUUCACUUUUAAAUUUUAAGUAUUUAAUUUUUAAAAUUUAAAUUCAUCGUAUUUAGAAAUAAAACUAUUUCUAAAAUUUUUAUAAUUUAAAUUAAUGCAUAAUUUGAUAAACACUAAAAUAUAUAAAGUAGAUUCCUAAAUUAAUGCCUAAUAAUUGCAUAAAUUUGGUUAAUCAAUUAAUUUCCUAAAUUAGUGCUAAUUAAUGCAUAAACUUAGGACAUUAAAAGUUUCUUUAAAUAUUGUAUUAUUUAAUUACCAAACUAACCUUGAAUAAAAUAAUCCUUUUACCUGCUAGCUGCUAAGUAUUAAAGUUACAUUUUCACCCUCUAUUAAUCAACAGUUAAGAUCUUUUUUAUUUUUUUUUUUAAAAAAUACCGAAUCAUUUCUCAUAUAUAUAUAUAUAUAUAUAUAUAAUUGAGCUAGAAUAUUUUUAGAAGCACCAACCCCUUAAUGCUUCUAAGUUUUUAACCCUUGGAUCCACUCCUUAAUUACUAAUAGCCUUUAGAUCAAACACUAUUCCAACUACCACCACCUACCACCAUCAUCUCAACCAUACAUCUCUCCAUCCCAGGGCUAAAAACUCAAAAACACCACCCCCUUGGUACUUUUGAGAGUAUUCUAACUCAACUCUCUCUCUCUCUCUCUCUCUCUCUCUCUCUCUCUAUAUAUAUAUAUAUAUAGUCCAGCUAUGGUGCUUGUAAAAGCACCAAGCACUUGGUGCUUUUAAGUUUUUUACCGUUAGAUUUACUCUACGGAUCAUUUUCAACCAUUAGAUUAUACUAUUUAACCAACCACCCACUCAACCCUAUGGGACCUGCAUCAUCCUAACCGCAUAUUUUUUAAUCCAAUGACUAAAAAUCUACAAAUACCAAUGUCUUGGUACUUUUAAAAGAAUAGGAGCUCAAUUAUAUAUAUAUAUAUAUAUAUAUAUAUAUAUAUAUAUAUAUAUAUGAGCUAGGCUGGAAUACUAUUGAUAGCAAAAGAUCCUUUUUGCUAUUAAAUUUUUAACCCUUAAAUAAGAAAUUGUAGGAUUAGGAUGAUAUUAAUUAGGGUUGAAUGAUCCCCUUAGGGUUGAGUGGUCCAGCCUAGCUCAUAUAUAUAUAUAUAUAUAUAUAUAUAUAUAUAUAUAUAGUCUGACUACUAUACUCUUAUAAAUAUAGACUCUUUAUACUCAUAAAUUUUUCGCUAUUAGAUCUAACCUUUUGAUCAUUUUCUCCUAUUAAAUCAUACUAUUCAAUCAACCGCCCACUCAAUUCUAAAAAACCACUAUCAUCCUAAUCGGGAACCACUAUCAUUCUAGCCACAUCUCUUUAUCCAACGAACAAAAACUUACUGAGUACAAAAAAAAAAAUCUAUACUCACAAAAAUAUAGUAGCCAUAGCCUCUAUAUGCAUAUAUGAGAAUAAUGUUUAAUAUCAACUUUUUGACAAUGGAUGUCAAGGAUUUAGUAGGAUUGUAAAAUACUCGACAUGUACGAUAAAGACCGAUCAGCAGAAAAGAAUGCAUCAUUUGAUUCAACAUAUCAAGGCGGCUUGAUGCCCCGAAACAGAGCCUUAGUCGCUUUCUACAUGCUUAAAACUUCCAUUUCCAAAUUUUUUUUUAAAAAUAGCAUCAUAAGUUAAAUACUCUGAGAAACGAGAGAACCAAACUGCAUCACACUGUAUACUCUCCAAAAUUAAGUAAAUUUUGCCGUCGCAGGUCUACAUGUACUUUGUCAAAACUGAAACAUCUAAGAUAGAUACUGGUUGUCGAAAGAAACAUUGUUGCUGCGCCCUGGAAAUUCAUGAUCUUAUUUAUAGAUAGAUCGAUUAAGUUGCGGCUGAUGGAAGGGUCGUCUCGAUGUUGGACGGCAUUAGCACAUUAAAUCCGUCGGCAGCUGUUGAUAUUAUCAUCCCUGGGAUCUGCGGGUGCCAAUGCAGUUCCUUUAAAUCCUUCUGACCCUGUUUGCGCAAGGGAAAUAUCAGAAUUUCGGAGAACUAUGAUAAGGGUAAUGUAAUUUUCUUUGAAAUAAGAUAAUUCAGACUGCGUUAAGCCUUAUAAAUCGUAAAGUUAGAGGUUGCUGUAUAAAAUUCCCAUAAAGAACAACAUCUAAACGAGGAGAGUAUGAAAAUUAGAUGCUUGAGGCCUAUUUCUCUGCACUUCCAAUGUGCGGGGCGGGGCAGCACUUUUUGUGCAAAACAGGCAGGCAGUAGAGCAUUAAGCGGACACAAUACAGCUGCCUUUGAUUCCCCCACAUGCAAUAAAAACGUGCAGCAGCAGCAGCAGGAAUUUGAUGCUUCAAUGGGAAUCAGUUCCGGCAUAAUCUUGGCCAACCAGCCCCUUGUUUUUAUUAAAAAUGGAUGCAUACAAAAUCUACGCAGGAUCCAAAAAACUUUUACUUGGGUUGGAAGUAUCAACUGGCUCUCACGAAGAAAAUGUUAACUCAAAGGAAAUGAGUAAUUUACUCCCAGACCACAGGUUAGAUAGGGUCAGUAAUGGAACCUGAUGAACAAAAAGGAGCUGCGGUGGCAGAUCUUCAGGGGCAUUUGCUUGCUCUUUCAUCUUUUCUUUGAAUUCAGCCUCCUCCUCUUCAUCUCUUUCCAAAGAAAGGUCCCAAAUCCUGGCGAUAAAGAAAAAAAAACAAACAACACGUUAAAAUGAUGACUUUGGCAUAAAAACAUGGACCGUAAUUUCAAACCACAGUAGUUAAUAAUGCCCGCAAGUGCGACACUACUUUUUCUAAGGUGUGACUUGUUGAGCUAUGCUGAUUGUGAUUUAAAAUUGCUCUUCUAGCCAUUACAUUUUGUCAAAUCAUGCGUAUGGGCCAGGACACAGCGUUUGCACGUACACACAUCUAGAGAGAGAGAGAGAGAGAGAGUGAGAGAGAGAGAGAGAGAGUAGACACUGAUUGAAAAGCAGAGCUCAUCGUACGUCAAUUGAUGGUCAGCAGAUGAAACAGCUAAGGUUGAUGCUUCAUGUGGACUCCAUUCUAUAGAUGUAACAGGCUGCUUGUGGUAGGUGAAGUGAGCCACUAAUGAGUCUCCCUGUUGACAAAGGAAAGAAGUAAACAAGCAAAAUCUUGAUUCAACAGCAGAACAAUCAGAACAGAUUUUUCUUUUUUUUGCUAAACAAUCCGAAAGGACUUCUGGAGAGCAAAAAUAUGCUUGAAUUUUGCUUAAACUUUGUUCAAAGAGUUCCUAGAGAGAGUAAAGACAAUCAUGUGAACCAAGACAAAAAUAGCAUUUUUCUUUUUUUUUGUCUGAUGGUUGUCAGCAAACUUGAAACAUUCAACUCAAAAAGUGACACAAGUAGCAGCAACUAGAUAAACCAUUUACUUAAUAUAUCGUAAGAUGGCAAACAAAAACAAAAAAAAACUGAUUCUGCAAAAAAGCACAGUACGGAGUUUCUACUAAUGGCAUAAAUUAUAAGGGCAGAUAAGAAGAACAUGGUCACUGUAUCAAGUGAAAAAGAAUGGUAAACAUCUCUCACAGGUUUAAGAUGACUAUCUUACAUCAAGCAUACAACUGAGGAUGUGCAACAAAUGCAAACCAUUUAUGAAGUGCAUUUCUCUCAGUAAAUUGAAGUAUGGUUGACUAAAUUCAAUUCCACUACUGGUUAUUGAAGAACUUGUCAUCAAAAACAAUGAACAAGGGCAACAAAUGGUAACUAAGAAAAUGUGACUUUUCCUCCCAAGUCCUUUAAAAAAGGUUGAGAAUAAUUUGAAGUAGGUGGAAGGCGAUCAAUAGAAAUAUCGUCUUCAGAUAUGUAAGCCAUCCAAAAAAGUUUUAAACAAUUACAGAAUUACACGCAAUAGUAAAACAGCCAAAUUUCACUAAAUUAUAUGCAAUAUGAUUAAAAAAGCUUUCAAAUCACAAGUUUGAAAAUCAAAUGAUCUGACAUUGCAAAAAUCCAAACAAAAUAUGAAGAGAUUGAUUACUCCAUUGGUCCCUAACCUUUACCUGAUUUUCAGUUGAUGCCCAACCUUUUAAUUUUGGAAUUGAGUUACUGAAAUUUAUUAUUUUUUCAAUCAAAUCCACUCCCUUCCCCACAGUGUGGACCGAAAUUGCCACAUCAGCAACAAACCAUGUUUGCCACAUCAGCACUAAGCCUUGUCACAUGGCAAUUUUCACCACAGUUAGCAGGCUUUCGAACAGAUGGAACUUAAUUGAAAAAUUAAUAAAUGUUACAUCAAUAAAUGUUACAGACUCAAUUGCAGCAAAUUAAAAGGUUGGACCAAGUGAAAAUUGCGUAAAGAUUAGGGGCUGUUUGGUUCCUCGGAAAAGUAUGGAAAAAAUAAAUUUCGAGAAAAAAGUUUUCCAUGGAAAACCUCUCUUUCAGUUUUCGGUCUUAAAAAAAACUCACUUUUUUAGAAAGCAUCUUUCCAAAUUUUAUGAAAAAACUAGCAUUUUCGUUUUCCUAAAAAAAAUUCAGAAAACGAAAUCAUUAAUUUGCCGUGAAAUUUGGAAAACAAAUUUCCAAAAAAGCUAGUGUUUCUUGAAACCAAACGGAUGGAAAACUAAAAUAGAGGUUUUCCAUGGAAAACCUUUUUCUCAGAAAACUUUUUCCCACGCUCUUACGACGAACGAAACACUCCCUUAGGGACUAAUGGUGUAAUUAAUUCAACUAUGUAAAAUAUAAAAAGAGAAGCAUGCUCAAUGACAAUGACCAAUUUUUCUCUAUAAGAGAUGCAAUACCUCUAAGCAACUCUUAAGUUAUUUAUAAUAUCUAACUGGAAAACAGUCAACAAAGAUUGAACUAGCAUCAUAAGAAAUUGCUGACUUUGGCAUUCUUCUACAGAAGAGACCAGUUAAUCACAAUCACAUUCCUGAGUGAAAUAUUCUCAUACUUAUACGACUUCAAGUCAAGAAAAGAAGGUAUAGCAAUUUGAAACUUAAUUAACAGAAGAACAGGUGGAAAGAAAUUGACUACCUUGAUUAAUCUAAGGUCGCGAAUUGAGAAGCUACCGUCAUCACUCCCAGAGGCUAUCAUACAGCUAGCAAGUCUACUCAGGACAACGAAAAUAAGAAAACAGAUUAGAAACACUGAAAAGCAAAUUAAGGACAGGAGUAUGAUGAAAGUGAAAAAGAACAAUUUUGCAUGUACCGGUUCCACGAGAUAACAUUGACAUCCGCAUCAUGUGCCUUAAAGGAAACUGCUGGCGAUCUUCCUAGCCUAGUAUCCCAUAUUGAUAUUGUUCCAUCCACUGAACAAGAGGCAAAUACAUCGGCUUCUGUGGGACUCCACUACAAAGAUAGAAGCAAUGGUAUUCACAACUCCAUAACAUUUUCCAUUUCCUAUAUAUUUCAGAAGAUCAAAUGUCAAGGCAUACUUGUAAAUCUUCAACACUUGCAGUGUGCCCAACAAAAGGGUUCCCAUCAACAUUCCAUGUAUCCGAUGUGGGCUCCCAAAGAUGAAUACAUUUAUUGCAAUCACCUGGAAAGAGAGAAAAAGGAAGCCUCCUCACCUCAAUAAUUCCAGUUGCCAUAGUAAUAACAAAUUAUGAAAUUACACAGAAAAAAGUUUGAAAAAGAUAGACAUACCGGAUACAAGCCUUCCAGUAACAACAGGACUCCAAUCAAUUGCGUAGCCUUCAUCUUUGUGUCCGGUGAACUUUAUUAUAGGAGAGUGCCGGUGAAUGCUAUUAUCCCCUCUGCUUACGGCUGUUUCUGAUUCAGCUAAAGCAUUAAGAUAUGAACUGAAGUCCCAAACCUGCAUAAAGUUACAAAAACAUAUGCCAUAUAAGUUAGAUAAAUUGCCUCUCCACAACCCGAGAGAAAUAUAACAUGGUAGAAUUCUAACAUUUGUAGAAAAAGCAAUUGGAUGGUAAUAGACAUUAACUUGAUAGACAGAAGACAAGCCAGUUUGCAGCAGGGCAUGACCUACCGACUAUCGUGUGGUCUGACAAGGCAUCAACACUGUAAACACACCUCCAACAUGCCAAUGGGCACACUUUGAAACACUUUAUUUUAAAUUUUCAAGCAAAAAAGCUAUAUAAUGUUUGUCAAACUAAUUAACUAUUUACACACUUACGAUCUGAUUUUUUUGAUUUUGAUACCAGAUGUGUGAAAUCUGAUAUUUCACAAUUGUACGAAUAUUUCACGAAUCAGCGACUGACAAGUAGUGAAUUGAUCUUUUAGUUCUGCCCAUUAUGGCUUAUUCAUUUGCAUUAAAGAAAUCAUCAAAUUUGACUAGGCAGUCAGGCCAGUGUCAAUUCAAUUCCUAUUUUGAGUCCUGAAUACUGAGAUAAUAUAUCAUUUUCAAACAUAUUUCCUUGGAAUUAGAGCAAAAGAUCCAAGUGAAAAGUGAAAACACACUAAGAACAAUCGACAUAGUUGUUAUGAAUAAGUAAAUCUGGCGUCAACGUGUGUCAAAACAGGGUUAAUAUGCCAAAGGCACAAACCAUGUCAGCCACAGAUCGGCACAUAGUAAAAAAAUAAAUAAAUAAAUAAAUAACACGAGAAUAUAAUUUAUAGCAAAACACACAGAUAUACUAUUCCAGCAUAAUAGAUAGCACAACAUUAUAAGACAGAUAACUUCAUGAUUAGGCUAUAUUUAUACCCCAUAAUGCAUUAUCAAAUGUAAAAUGAUAUGCAUCGUACAUUCCAUAGCAUCAACUAACAUGACAUACUGGAAACAUACACUCACACAUGCACAAGGCAAAGAUUAGGGAAAAGAUUUUUCCAACCUGCACAUUACCAAUAUCUGCCCAUGUAACACAUAUAUGUGGCUUUUGGAUCAUACAUCGUAUCCGAUUGACACAUCCUUGAUGAGCCACCUUGUGUAACUGUUAAAAAAAGGCAAGAAGAGUAAGAACAUUCUACAGACUCAGAAAACUACUGUAAAAUUCUAGCAUUGCGGAAAUACAACUACUGGUACAAAAAGCUAACCCAGUGUUAUCUUUAUAAGAAAAAGAGUAAAAUAAAAUCUUGCCUGUAAAAUUGGUUUGGACGCAUCAUUGCUCUCAUCUUCGUCAUCAUCUUCAUCACUGCUGCUAUCACUAUCCUGCAUAUCGGCGUCAUUAUCAGCUGAUGCUGCAGGCACUAAAUCACGCUUCUUUCCUUUUAUAUUUGAGAGCUUGAAAAUACCAAUGUAAUUCCAGGAUGAUUGCUCAGCCUGCCAAAAGUUUAAAAGAAAAUUAUUGAGAUAUGAGUACAAGCAAAAUCCAGAUAAUUUAAAGAAGCUCCGACAAAUUGGACAAACAUUAAAACCUUAACAAGAUAACCUCCCCGAAUUUUACUAAACCACAGAUAUUAAUUAAAAGGGAAAAGUAAUUUCCAUGUAAAUUAAUCUGUCUUUUGGCUCUCAAAUUUCAAGUUAAGCAGACAAAAACUCUGAAUACAAGUACAGUCUAUAUCCCCGAACUGAAAAUAAACAACACAAACAAAGCAAACAAAUUCACAAUUAACAUACAGAAUAAAUAAGAGCAACAGUAAUAGGGUAGCAAUUAAAUUAUGCAAAUUAAGAAAAUAUUGAAAAAUGCUUAUAGAGUUCCUAAUGAAGUCAUUAUCAUUUCAUCUAUUUGUGAGCUCAAGAUUAUUCUAUCUGUCCACUAAACAGUAUACUCUCCAAAGUAAUACUUUAAUUUAAAUGCCAAGUAAUCAAACCUGCGUCCCUGCGACACCAUAUACUGUAUGAGGAAACUCUGUCCGGACCAAUCCCAGCGAAUCAUGCACUAUAUCGUAACUACAACACAAAAUUUAGCAUAUUUAUUAUGACAAAAAGAGAAAUGGCACUAUAAAUUUUCACUUAAAUCUUCUACCUCAGACAGGGCCAUCCAAUAUUGAAACCCCGAAGGUAAUUAUAUGCUGAGGGAUCAAACUGGAGCUCCUCUCCCUCUUCUAGAUUAUCAACACCUGGUUGCCAUACCUUCGAAAGAAUAACCGUUCAAUUGUUUUAAAAUCCAAAACAGAAUACAACUGAAUACCUAUAUACUAUCAAUUCUAUAAGAGUUCAUAACAAAUAAAAUUUUAGAAGCACCCCCCGAACAACAGGCCAUUGCAAAGUACAACCACGAACUGGAUUUUUCUUUUGGACUGACACCCCCUUAACUUUAAAUUGCUUUGAUUUAACUCAUUCUAAUCAUUUGAAUUAGGAAUUUCGUCAAAUUACGUCGGAAUCAACAUUUUUAUUAGCUUAGGAACCACAUAAAACCAUAAAAUAUAUAUAAAAUAUUUUAUUAAGUUUGAAAAAUCUCAGAAAAAUUCGAUGUGAAUCACUAAAUUCAAAACAAUAAGUUAAUAGGUUCUUAAUCAAAACAAAGUAAAGUUCCGAGGCAAUUUCCGAAUAACCUAUGGUUGAAGGGGACUCCAUGUACAGCUUUACCUACUUAAAAAUCCAAUCUUUUAACAAUGAAGUGAUUAAUAGGAUAGAAAUUUAGGGUUUCGUCGUCACCUUAGCAGGUGCUGAGGGCACCGAAGAAGAAGAAGAAGCAGCAGCAGCAGCAGCAGCUUCGCCCUUCUUAGAUCCCUAAAAUAGCAACCAAAAAAAAGAGGAAAAACAUUAAAAACAAAUGAGAAAUUGAAUACGAACAACGAAUCGAGGAUAGGGGAUUCGAGCGAGAUGAAGAAGAAGAGGAGGAGGAGGAGGCGAACGCACUUUGUUCUUUCGCUUGCUCUUCUUAGGGUUUUUGAUGCUCCGAACCAUCUCUCGCGAGGGCUCUGCGACGAUGGAGUUUUUUCUUUUUCUUUUUCUUUUUUUAUUUUAUUUUCCCUCUCUGUUUGCGGAACCGCUAAAACCCUAGUAGGCGGGUUUGAUCGGGGAAUACAAAGAGAAGAGCUAUAUUGCUUAUUGGUCCAUAAUCUUUGCUUCUUUUUCACUUUGGUACCUAACUUUUUCUUUAUUUAUUUUUAUUAUUAGUCUCUAAUAUGAGUGAGGCUACUAUGCUAUCGGAAGUCGGUGCUUCCAGCUCGUUUUUGAUGUUGCGACUUUCGAAUCGUCGAUCGGCUCUGUUAAACUUGAUCUAGAGUAUUUUGAGUACCUAGAAAAUAAAUUUUAUUAUUUUUCGAUAUCAUUUGCCUAGUGAUCGAAUGGGCGCAAAAUCAACAAAUUUCAAUGGCCGUAGUGAGCCGUUUGCAAGUUUAACGGUGUAGAAAUAUCCAAAUCACGUGAAAUUUUGAUAGAAAAUUCUUUAUACUAUAUAAAACAAGAUCAAUAUCUUUGAUUUAAAAUUUUAAUGUCAUAUUAUUACAUUUUGUAAGAUUUUUAUUUUCAGCCGUUGAUUUUGAGCCCCUUCGUUCACUAGGCAAAUGAUAUCGUAAAAUCAUAAAAUUUAUUUUCUAGGUACUUCAAAUACUCUAGAUCAAGUUUAACGGAGCCGAUCGACGAUUCGAAAGUCGCAACAUCGAAAACGAGCCGGAAGCACGGAAGGCUCCGUGCUUCCGAUAGCAUAGUAGCCACACUCCUCUAAUAUUUCUAUUUUAUUUUUAGUUCGAUCCGAACUAUCUAAAUUUUUCUUAAUUUUAAUAAAGAAGUCCCGCCAACUCCACUAAGGUCUUAUUUACUCGUAUACAUCAUGAUCAUAGUCCGAUAAUUUUCGAUCAAUCUCUAUACUGAUUUUUCAAGUCUCUAAAAAGACUUAAUAACACAUUAUACUCAAUGCAAAAAAUGUCAAAGGCUCCAAAAAAGGCAAUAGAUAUUAUAUGCGAGGUCGAGAUGAGCGUAAAUAUAGAUGACGAUAUUAAAUAUGAUAAAAUUUGCCUUGAUAUGCUGUGUGCCUAUAUAAAGAAAGAGUUUAGAGAUCAAAGUUAAAUAAAAAAUAAAAAAAAAUAAAAAAAAGAGGAGAGAGAGAGAGUAGAAAUAAGCGGCCAUUAAUUUUUAAAGAUUAAGGAUCAAAAUGCAAAAAAAGGACCAAAAUAAAAAAUUGACUCCUGCUUUACGACCCAUUAGUACGGCCGGCCAACCUAUAAUCUAUCUAUAAAAUAUAUAAUUUGAGAGUUGAGUCACAUCAACAAACCCAACCCUCAUGAAGCCACGUCUCCCUUUAAAACACCGGCCAAUAGAAGGGUUUAGGGUUUAGAAAAUUACCACAUACCUAAUAAAUAUUUCGAUGUGCCCAUUAUAUCGUAAACCAUCUUUAAAGUUUAAAAUAAGUAUCAAAAAUAAAACUAUGAUACUAUAAUAAAUUAUUUAAAUAUUUUAUAUCAUAUAUAUAUAUAUAUAUAUAUAUAUAUAUAUAUAUAUAUAUAUAGUUGAGCUAGAAUACUCUCGAUAGUAACGGGGCNUUAUAUUUUUUCAACAUGGUUUACUUUAUGAUCAAAUCAUUUCAAAAUUGAUCAAUUUUCAAUGGCUAUUAUGGAGAGUUUGGAGUUUAACGGUGUAGAAGAAUAUAAAUUUCUUCAAAUUUUGAUAGAAAAUAUUUUAAACUAUCUAGAUUAAGGUUAACAUUCUUGAUCUUGAAUUUAAAAGCCCUAUGCUCAAAUUUGAAAGAUUAUUCAAUUUCCACCGUCCAUUUUAACAUAAUUUAUUUACUAAGUAAACGAUGUCGAAAAAAACUAAAAUUUUAUUCCUAAUAACUUCAUAUACCUCAUAUUAUAUUUAAUAGUGUGGGUCGUUAAUUUGAACACCCUAAAAUCGAAAACAAGGCUAUAGUACCGGAGCUCCGAUACUAUAGAUAGUAUAGUAGCUGAGUAUUGGCUCCGUUAUACUUAUAAGUUUUUGGACCUUAGAUUUAUUGCAUUGAUUAUUUCUACCCGUUAGAUCAUACUAUUCAACUAACUACCCACUCAACCCUAGGGGACCACUAUCAUUCUAAGUGGAGACCACCAUAAUCCUAACACACAUCCCAUCAAUACACAAUUAAAAAUUUAUGAGUACAAAGGGGUCUAUACUCAUGAGAGUAUAGUAGCCCCAGCCUAUAUAUAUAUAUAUAUAUAUAUAUAUAUAUAUAUAUAUAUAUAUAACUAGGCUACUAUGCUAUUAAUAGCACGAAGUACUUGGUGCUACCAAGUUUUUGGCCAUUGGAUUAAGAGAUGUGCGGUUAGAAUGAUGUGUGCCCCUAGGGUUGAGUGGGUGGUUAGUUGAAUAGUAUGAUCUAACGGGUGAAAAUGAUCAAAAUGAUAGAUCUAACGGCGGAAAACUUGGUAGCAUUUGGUGCUACCAAGUUUUUGGCCAUUGGAUUAAGAGAUGUGCGGUUAAGAUGAUGUUGCCCCAUAGGUUAGUGGGUGGUUAGUUGAAUAGUAUGAUCUAACAGGUGAAAAUGAUCAAAAGGAUAGAUCUAACGGCGGAAAACUUGGUAGCACCAAGUGCUUCGUGCUAUUAAUAGCAUAGUAGCCGGACUAUAUAUAUAUUAUAUAUAUAUAUAUAUAUAUAUAUAUAUAUAUAUAUACAUAUAUCAUCUAUAAUUUAUAAAAUAUAUAAUUUGAGUGUUAGGUCACAUCAACAAACCCAACCCGCCACAUCUCCCCUUAAAACACC